GUGGACAAGUAAUGGUUGAAUAUGCCAACUCGAAUUCUUAUAAUUCAGCUUUCUUUUGAUCUUCUAGAUAAGAUGCUCUCAACGAGUAGAAUGGAAGGCUGCAGUUGAAAGAGAUACAUCAGAUGCAGGUUAUCUGGAGCAGAUAGGGAGGACUCUCUUAAAGUGAUUCAAACAAAGAAACUUCGAACUUUAGAUGCCUCGCCUCUCUCAACAAGCCAGAGAUCUCAGUUCUGUUGCUUGGUCAUGCAUGAUGACAUGCUCUGUGGUCUGGGCCAUGCAUAAUGCAUACUUCACAAGGAGUGGAGCAUAGAGGAUUUUUUAUUUAUUUUUCAUGUAUUCGGACCAUUGUAAACUUAUUGUUGUAAAUAUAUAUAAUUUUUUAUUAUAAAGUUGUUCAAUAUUAAUUUUUA